CCUACGGGAGGCAGCAGUAGGGAAUAUUGCUCAAUGGGGGAAACCCUGAAGCAGCAACGCCGCGUGGAGGAUGAAGGUUUUCGGAUUGUAAACUCCUUUUGUUAGAGAAGAUAAUGACGGUAUCUAACGAAUAAGCACCGGCUAACUCCGUGCCAGCAGCCGCGGUAAUACGGAGGGUGCAAGCGUUACUCGGAAUCACUGGGCGUAAAGAGCGCGUAGGCGGGAUAGCAAGUCAGAUGGGAAAUCCUAGGGCUUAACCAUAGAACUGCAUUUGAAACUGGUAUUCUAGAGUAUGGGAGAGGUAGGUGGAAUUCUUGGUGUAGGGGUAAAAUCCGUAGAGAUCAAGAGGAAUACUCAUUGCGAAGGCGACCUGCUAGAACAUAACUGACGCUGAUGCGCGAAAGCGUGGGGAGCAAACAGGAUUAGAUACCCCGGUAGUC
rnacentral:rRNA from 1 species